rnacentral:rRNA from 15 species
GCUUACGGCCAUACCACCCUGAAAGCGCCCGAUCUCGUUCGAUCUCGGAAGCUAAGCAGGGUCGGGCCUGGUUAGUACUUGGAUGGGAGACCGCCUGGGAAUACCAGGUGCUGUAAGCC